AUGAGAUGUCUUCAUCCUUCUUACCUUUGUCCCUCUGAUGGAGGCAGAAGAGGCGCCAAGUCUGGAACCCACGACCGCCGCGGAGGAGGAGCUAGGCGAUGCUUGGCUGGGCACUGUAUUGCUCUCAUCCCGUUUCCUGUCUGUGAAAUGGGAAUGGCGCUCCUGCUUCUCCAUGGGAUCUUGGGAAAGGAACAUGAGGGCACUUGUGGCAGUGUUUGUGGCAUGCCUGGCCCAGAGAGAAGCUCUAGAAAUGACACCUAUGAUCCCCCAGCUUGGGGGGAUCCCCCGUUAACAAACACUCGUGCGGCCUGGGGCUGGAAUACAGCCUGAGCAUGACCUAGUCCCAGCCCCAGGAAGAUGGGCCGUCGGAAGGCCAUGGGCAUGAAAGAUGUGCUCGGGGGCCCUUCCAGGUGUCACCAAAGAGCACCGGGGUGUGGCUGAGCCGGAGCAAGGCAGGUGUGAGGCGGUGGGGCUCGGCACAGUGUCAGGCCUGCCUGGGUUCACAGCCCGGGCCUGGGUUACCAGCUGCAUGACUUCACCUCUCUGAACCUCAGUUUCCCCAAAUGUGAAAUGGAGUCGAUUCUGAUAGCAGCUUCUGCUGGGGUUGUUGAGAGGCUGAAAUGAGUAUUUGUAUGAUACAAAUACUCAGUGCCUGGCAAAAGGUAACUAAGUGUCUGUUAAAUAUGUAACUCUGUCUACACAUCAGGGGGCUGACCUCAGUGUGUUAAAUAUGUAACUGUGUCUACACAUCAGGGGGCUGACCUCAGUGUGUUAAAUAUGUAACUGUGUCUACACAUCAGGGGGCUGACCUCAGUGUGUUAAAUAUGUAACUGUGUCUACACAUCAGGGGGCUGACCUCAGUGUGUUAAAUAUGUAACUGUGUCUACACAUCAGGGGGCUGACCUCAGUGUGUUAAAUAUGUAACUGUGUCUACACAACAGGGGGCUGACCUCAGUGUGUUAAAUAUGUAACUGUGUCUACACAUCAGGGGGCUGACCUCAGUGUGUUAAAUAUGUAACUGUGUCUACACAACAGGGGGCUGACCUCAGUGUGUUAAAUAUGUAACUGUGUCUACACAUCAGGGGGCUGACCUCAGUGUGUUAAAUAUGUAACUGUGUCUACACAACAGGGGGCUGACCUCAGUGUGUUAAAUAUGUAACUGUGUCUACACAUCAGGGGGCUGACCUCAGUGUGUUAAAUAUGUAACUGUGUCUACACAUCAGGGGGCUGACCUCAGUGUGUUAAAUAUGUAACUGUGUCUACACAACAGGGGGCUGACCUCAGUGUGUUAAAUAUGUAACUGUGUCUACACAUCAGGGGGCUGACCUCAGUGUGUUAAAUAUGUAACUGUGUCUACACAACAGGGGGCUGACCUCAGUGUGUUAAAUAUGUAACUGUGUCUACACAUCAGGGGGCUGACCUCAGUGUGCCGAGAGGCCAAAAUGGAGAGAAAAGGAGGUUGCCAAAGUGUCUUUCCUGGUGGGCCCAGACUUCGGGGUUUCAGGACGGGUGAGAGGGAGUCGGGACAGGCAGGACGGCGGCGUGAGUUGCAUGCUUCCUGAAGGUGGCUGGGAGAAACCCUGGGAUGUCCUUGUCUAAACUAGACUCUGGCCUGUGGGGGGGCAGGGGCCCCGCCGCCCUCAGCCCCUGGCACUGCUGUCUUUCUGGGUGCCUGGCACAUCCUGCUGCAGCCGACCGAGGGCAGCCCAGCAGGGAAAGCGGAGCUGCAGGCAGGAGGCGCGGCCCGUUUCAUCCACCGGGGAUGGAGCGAGCUACAGGUGUGGCCAUUGUUCCUGAGCACAGGUGGGGCUAAUGCGUCCUGACAGCCCAAGGAUGGGCCCCUGGCAGCCUCUGCGGCCUGGCCCGAGCCCCAGGGCAGCCCUCGUGGGCACCCGAAUUACAAAACGUCCUGUGAACUCUCUCCACAGUCCUGGCCUCUUCAUGUGCUUCCAACGCCGGCGGCCUGGACACACCCGGGAGCAGCCGUCACCCAUUCACAGAGAGCUUUGGUGAAGGUCACCAUCCGCAGGGACAGAGCAGGUAUUGUCAAGGACGCCAGCCUAGCCUUUGUGCCCUGCCGGCUGCCCCAACCACAGGAAUUCCUCACACUCACCCUCAUUCACACCAGGAGGGCUCCCACUGCCGCUGGGGGUGGCCGCCACCCCCUCCCUCCCCAUGCUGUUUUCAGGUAGGAGGCUGGAGCCUCGGCCAAAGGAACCUCACCCACCAUUUUCCAAAACCUAAUUGCCACGGCUGUGUCUGUGACGGGCACAGACCCAGGCGCCGGGCCUGCCAAGAAUCUCCCCGUGUGAAUACCUGCACAGGGCACCUCCUGUGGGAACCGGGAGUCACACAGAGCCUGGCAUUUGUCCCCAGCCUGUCUUGUGACAUUAGAUAGAUCAAAGCCCCAUUGUAAAAAGUCAUGUUACCUCUGUUCAUCUGCUUGGAGCCUGUGUCCUGGGACGGCCCUUCCCUCGGCUCUGGCUCAGGGAGGGAGCUGACCGCCGAGACAGACAUGUGCUCACAUUUGGGCCCCAGCAUUCCUCCUGGAAGGAGCCCCACCGAAAGUGAAAUUGCCUUUCAUGGGUCUGAGGCUGGGGCACACCCUGAGAAAGAAUGAGAAAACGUGGGGCAGCACAGCUCCUCUCCAAAGCCUUCAGAGGAACAAGUUCCUACUUGGUUCUGCUGAGGAACAGCAAGAAGGCAGAGAAAAAUGUCACCAACGCCGAAAUCCUGGAGGCUUCCUGAAUCAGUGAUGAGGGUGGGGAGCUGGCAGAGGCUGGGGAGGGGGCAGCUUCUGUCCAGCAGCCCCUUGGGGCAUGGCAGGGACGGGGCAAUGGCAAAAGUGAGAAGACACGAGGCUUUGACAAGAAUGAGUGGUGGGGCAGGAUCAGAUCCUUCCAGAGGGCACAGCUUCCCCUUGACUCCCUGGCCAUUGUGUGUCAGAUGAGGGGGAUAGUCAAAUUGCUCAACCACCUGACCUGUGAGCUGGAAGCAUCUUUACCCAUCAUACAGUCCUUAGGUAGUCCAUUGGUACAGGCUGCCUGGAGCAUGUGCUGAGAUGGGAAGAAAUGCACCAAGAUGGAUUGGUAAUGUCUGCAUGGCUGCCGGUCUCUCAGUGAUGGUGUGUGUGUUGUGUAUUUGCCAUCUCUAGUCAGGAUAAGCUAGGUUUUGCUGCCAUAACAAAUAAAUCUCCAAGCCUCAAUUGCUUAUUGCUGUGA
rnacentral:lncRNA from 13 species